UACAACCCUAACAAUGGACGCAUUGACUCUCGCAUCAAUGAAGGCCGCAGCUAGCUGCGAAAAGCGAUACGAAUUGCAGAUAUCAUUAAAUGUUAGAUUGCCGAACGCACUUGGCGCAUACAUAUUUAUAUGUUGUGCAAGUAAGGCUCAGUCUGU
rnacentral:rRNA from 1 species